rnacentral:tRNA from 1 species
GCAGUAAUCGCGUAGUUUGGUCGAUCGCCCUGGAUUUCCAAUCCAGUCAGAUAAGGUUCACAUCGUGGGUUCGAAUCCCACUUACUGCUC